rnacentral:rRNA from 1 species
AGCGCAUACGGUGGAUGCCUUGGCAGUCAGAGGCGAUGAAAGACGUGGUAGCCUGCGAAAAGCUUCGGGGAGUCGGCAAACAGACUGUGAUCCGGAGAUGUCUGAAUGGGGGAACCCAGCCAUCAUAAGAUGGUUAUCUUGUACUGAAUACAUAGGUGCAAGAGGCGAACCAGGGGAACUGAAACAUCUAAGUACCCUGAGGAAAAGAAAUCAACCGAGAUUCCCUUAGUAGUGGCGAGCGAACGGGGACCAGCCCUUAAGUUGUAUUGAGAUUAGCGGAACGUUCUGGAAAGGACGGCCAUAGUGGGUGAUAGCCCUGUACGCGAAAAUCCCUUUGCAAUGAAAUCGAGUAGGACGGGGCACGAGAAACCUUGUCUGAAUAUGGGGGGACCAUCCUCCAAGGCUAAAUACUACUGACUGACCGAUAGUGAACCAGUACCGUGAGGGAAAGGCGAAAAGAACCGCGGAGAGCGGAGUGAAAUAGAUCCUGAAACCGUAUGCGUACAAGCAGUGGGAGCCCACUUUGUUGGGUGACUGCGUACCUUUUGUAUAAUGGGUCAGCGACUUAUUUUCAGUGGCGAGCUUAACCGAAUAGGGGAGGCGUAGCGAAAGCGAGUCUUAAUAGGGCGUCUAGUCGCUGGGAAUAGACCCGAAACCGGGCGAUCUAUCCAUGGGCAGGUUGAAGGUUGGGUAACACUAACUGGAGGACCGAACCGACUACCGUUGAAAAGUUAGCGGAUGACCUGUGGAUCGGAGUGAAAGGCUAAUCAAGCUCGGAGAUAGCUGGUUCUCCUCGAAAGCUAUUUAGGUAGCGCCUCAUGUAUCACUGUAGGGGGUAGAGCACUGUUUCGGCUAGGGGGUCAUCCCGACUUACCAAACCGAUGCAAACUCCGAAUACCUACAAGUGCCGAGCAUGGGAGACACACGGCGGGUGCUAACGUCCGUCGUGAAAAGGGAAACAACCCAGACCGUCAGCUAAGGUCCCAAAGUCAUGGUUAAGUGGGAAACGAUGUGGGAAGGCUUAGACAGCUAGGAGGUUGGCUUAGAAGCAGCCACCCUUUAAAGAAAGCGUAAUAGCUCACUAGUCGAGUCGGCCUGCGCGGAAGAUGUAACGGGGCUCAAACCAUGCACCGAAGCUACGGGUAUCAUCUUAUGAUGAUGCGGUAGAGGAGCGUUCUGUAAGCCUGUGAAGGUGAGUUGAGAAGCUUGCUGGAGGUAUCAGAAGUGCGAAUGCUGACAUGAGUAACGACAAUGGGUGUGAAAAACACCCACGCCGAAAGACCAAGGUUUCCUGCGCAACGUUAAUCGACGCAGGGUUAGUCGGUCCCUAAGGCGAGGCUGAAAAGCGUAGUCGAUGGAAAACAGGUUAAUAUUCCUGUACUUCUGGUUAUUGCGAUGGAGGGACGGAGAAGGCUAGGCCAGCCUGGCGUUGGUUGUCCAGGUUUAAGGUGGUAGGCUGAGAUCUUAGGUAAAUCCGGGAUCUUAAGGCCGAGAGCUGAUGACGAGUGUUCUUUUAGAACACGAAGUGGUUGAUGCCAUGCUUCCAAGAAAAGCUUCUAAGCUUCAGGUAACCAGGAACCGUACCCCAAACCGACACAGGUGGUUGGGUAGAGAAUACCAAGGCGCUUGAGAGAACUCGGGUGAAGGAACUAGGCAAAAUGGCACCGUAACUUCGGGAGAAGGUGCGCCGGUGGAGGUGAAGCAUUUACUGCGUAAGCCCCUGCCGGUCGAAGAUACCAGGCCGCUGCGACUGUUUAUUAAAAACACAGCACUCUGCAAACACGAAAGUGGACGUAUAGGGUGUGACGCCUGCCCGGUGCCGGAAGGUUAAUUGAUGGGGUUAGCGCAAGCGAAGCUCUUGAUCGAAGCCCCGGUAAACGGCGGCCGUAACUAUAACGGUCCUAAGGUAGCGAAAUUCCUUGUCGGGUAAGUUCCGACCUGCACGAAUGGCGUAACGAUGGCGGCGCUGUCUCCACCCGAGACUCAGUGAAAUUGAAAUCGCUGUGAAGAUGCAGUGUAUCCGCGGCUAGACGGAAAGACCCCGUGAACCUUUACUAUAGCUUUGCACUGGACUUUGAAUUUGCUUGUGUAGGAUAGGUGGGAGGCUUUGAAGCGUGGACGCCAGUCUGCGUGGAGCCAACCUUGAAAUACCACCCUGGCAACUUUGAGGUUCUAACUCAGGUCCGUUAUCCGGAUCGAGGACAGUGUAUGGUGGGUAGUUUGACUGGGGCGGUCUCCUCCUAAAGAGUAACGGAGGAGUACGAAGGUGCGCUCAGACCGGUCGGAAAUCGGUCGUAGAGUAUAAAGGCAAAAGCGCGCUUGACUGCGAGACAGACACGUCGAGCAGGUACGAAAGUAGGUCUUAGUGAUCCGGUGGUUCUGUAUGGAAGGGCCAUCGCUCAACGGAUAAAAGGUACUCCGGGGAUAACAGGCUGAUACCGCCCAAGAGUUCAUAUCGACGGCGGUGUUUGGCACCUCGAUGUCGGCUCAUCACAUCCUGGGGCUGAAGCCGGUCCCAAGGGUAUGGCUGUUCGCCAUUUAAAGUGGUACGCGAGCUGGGUUUAGAACGUCGUGAGACAGUUCGGUCCCUAUCUGCCGUGGACGUUUGAGAUUUGAGAGGGGCUGCUCCUAGUACGAGAGGACCGGAGUGGACGAACCUCUGGUGUUCCGGUUGUCACGCCAGUGGCAUUGCCGGGUAGCUAUGUUCGGAAAAGAUAACCGCUGAAAGCAUCUAAGCGGGAAACUUGCCUCAAGAUGAGAUCUCACUGGAACCUUGA